UUGGCCAUAAUCGUGCAGCCCUACACGAUGACAGCAGUAACCUAUGACAUAAAAUUCUAAAUUUGUGAUGAUUCAAACUUGCAAUGAUUCAAACUUGUGAUGAAUUUGUGAUGAUUCAGUAGGGAGGUCAUUGUUGUCCAGAACACCUGAGAAGACACACACAGCCCAACCAGGAGACCGAAUUGUCGUGGAAAUUUGCAAGUAAACACUCGCAGACCUCUGAAGUUCCUCUGAAGCUGAUAUGGAAAUGGUUGAUGCAACUCCUGUCACCUUGAUCAACCCCACCUACUUCCCUGGCAAGUUGUGGCGUUUGGUGAACGAUCCACAGAUUCACUCAAUCUGUUGGGACGCCAGCGGGGAAGGUAUACUUGUCCACCAACAACCGUUUGAAGCUGAAGUGCUAUCGUCCCAAACCAGCCAGGUGACCGAGUACUUCAGAACGAAGGACUUCAUCAGUUUCAUUCGCCAGCUGAACCUGUACGGCUUCAGGAAAGAACGUUCAGUCCGUGACAUCUCAGAGAAGCAAAUAAACAUCUUUCCCAUCGAGGCCCAGCCGCACCACUUUUACAACCCGUAUUUCAAACGGGAUAAGCCUGAGCUUCUGCUCAAAAUACAGCGACGCACGCCUCUCAACAAGGCCAAGCUCGCUGGGAUGAAGGUCACCAGCCAGAAGCCAAAAGUUUUCCAUCCUGGGAUGCUGAAUUGGACACAGGAAUCCUCUGCCUUAAUGAAAACAGGUCCAGUCUUGCUUGGACGUCAGGGAACCCCUUACCACCAUCCCUGUAAUGGCCCUCAGCAGGAGAAGUGGAGCGACACACCUCAUCAGUCACAGUACGGGUUUUACACACCAGUGAAUCAGCGCUGCAGCCCAGACUUCAUGGAUUCAACAGUGCCAUGCUUUCAACAACCAGCUGCUUCCUACUCUCCGUGUGGCUAUUACCCUGACUACUCAGUCGGAUACGCUCAUCCGAUCGAUCAGGAUCCAUACUUGGAAGCAGGUGAUGUUCCAGAGUGUAGGACGAGUGACCAGGACAAAGAGAAAGAGGAACUGGACGCUAUAUUAGAGCUGGCGUUGGACAUGCAGGUCAGAUUAGAUGAUCAAGAACAGCCCCGAGAGUGUAUCUGUGCUUACAGUGUAGUCAGUGCUGCCGUAGUACCAUAAGCUCCAAUAAUUGGAAUCCAGGACCAAGAACUGUUUACACGGUUCAAGAACAUACUGUGCCCUCCACUAAUAUUGGCACCCUUGGUAAAUAUGAGUAAAGGAUGCUGUGAUAAUUUCUCUUUAUUGUUGAGCCUUUUGAUCUUUUGUUCAGCCUUCUUUGCUUAUAUUUACCAAGGGUGCCAAUAUUAGUGGAGGGCACUGUAUGUGGUUUAAAUCUCACGUUCUCAUAUCAAACUCAUCAGAAAUCAUACCAAAUCAUACCAUGUGGCGGCUGUGGCUCAGGUGGUAGAGUGGGUUGUCCACUAAUCGUAGGGUUCGAUUCCCGGCUCACGUGACUCCACAAGUUAGCGUCUUGCAGCUCUGCUACCAUUGUUGUGUGUGUGUGAACGGAUGAAUGGGACACAGUGUAAAGCGUUUUGGAUAAAAGCGCUAUAAGUGCGCCUUUUACCAUUUAUAAAUGCUAACAUUAACAUUUAUACCACACACUGUGAGUUUGCAUGUUCUCCCCGUGCCGCGGUCUUUCCUCCGGGUACUCCGGUUUCCUCCACCAGUCCAAAGACAUGCAUGGUAGGUUGAUUGGCGUGUCCAAAGUGUCCAUAGUGUAUGAAUGGGUGUGUGAGUGUGUAUGUGAGUGUGCUCUGUGAUGGAUUGGCACCCUGUCCAGGGUGUACCCCACCAUGUGCCCGAUGCUCCCUGGGAUAGGCUCCUGGUUCCCCGUGACCCUGAAAAGGAGUAAGCGGUUGAAGAUGGAUGGAUCUAUGGAUGGACCACACGCUGAAGAAGUUGAUGCCCGGAGGUUGCUGCAGCAAUCAGUCACCUGUUAAGACAGCUUGAGUGGGG